rnacentral:rRNA from 1 species
AUUGAACGCUGGCGGCAUGCCUUACACAUGCAAGUCGAACGGCAGCGUGGACUUCGGUCCGCCGGCGAGUGGCGAACGGGUGAGUAAUGUAUCGGAACGUACCAAUCAGUGGGGGAUAACUAUCCGCAAGGAUAGCUAAUACCGCAUAUUCUGUGAGCAGGAAAGCAGGGGAUCGCAAGCCCUGGCGCUGAUUGAGCGGCCGACAUCAGAUUAGCUGGGUGGUGAGGUAACGGCUCACCAAGGCUACGAUCUGUAGUGGGUCGGAGAAGAUGAUCCGCCACACUGGGACUGAGACACGGCCCAGAAGCCUACGGGGGGCAGCGGUGGGGAAUUUUGGACAAUGGGCGCAAGCCUGAUCCAGCCAUGCCGCGUGAGUGAAGAAGGCCUUCGGGUUGUAAAGCUCUUUCGGCCGGGAAGAAAUCGCAUCAGCUAAUACCUGGUGUGGAUGACGGUACCGGAAUAAGAAGCACCGGCUAACUACGUGCCAGCCGCCGCCGUAAAAC